ACGACUUUAGUUUAAAAAAUAUUAAUUUGUCAGGUUAAAGAUGUAAGGUUUUACAAGUUGUA
rnacentral:tRNA from 1 species